UACGAAGGGGGCUAGCGUUGCUCGGAAUCACUGGGCGUAAAGCGCACGUAGGCGGAUUGCUAAGUCGGGGGUGAAAUCCUGGAGCUCAACUCCAGAACUGCCUUCGAUACUGGCGAUCUCGAGUUCGGGAGAGGUGAGUGGAACUGCGAGUGUAGAGGUGAAAUUCGUAGAUAUUCGCAAGAACACCAGUGGCGAAGGCGGCUCACUGGCCCGAUACUGACGCUGAGGUGCGAAAGUGUGGGGAGCAAACAGG
rnacentral:rRNA from 1 species